GACGAACGCUGGCGGCGUGCUUAACACAUGCAAGUCGAACGAAGUGGCGAACGGGUGAGUACUACGUGCGUAACCUGCCCUCCUUUUUGGGAUAAGCCUUGGAAACGGGGUCUAAUACCGAAUAAAGGGGUAUGGGCUCGCGGCCUAUCAGCUGGUGGGUGGGGUGAUGGCCUACCAAGGCGGUGACGGGUAGCCUGCCUGCGAGGGUGACCGGCCACAUUGGGACUGAGAUACGGCCCAGACUCCUACGGGGGGCAGCAGUGGGGGGUAUUGCCCACUGGGCGAAAGCCUGAUGCAGCGACGCCGCGUGGGGGAUGAAGGCUUUCGGUUUGUAAACCGCUUUCAGCCAUGACGCGGUAGUGGCAGAAGAAGCACCGGCUAACUACGUGCCAGCAGCCGCGGUAAUUC
rnacentral:rRNA from 1 species